UGCAGCUUUGUCAAAUUCAGUGCUCCCUGUGCAGUUGGGUCCACUGGCCAAAAUGGCUGCAACAGCAACUCUUCAGCUCAUGGGCCCCACUUCCCUUUACCUUGGGUUUUGGGGACAACGAUGUGCUGCAGACAGGA
ensembl:snoRNA